AUUCAAACCCCAACUUCACAGAACUAUAGAAAAUGAAGAGAGAGACAGAAGGAGAAGAUGAUAUACUAGUAAUGGUAGAGUUUCAUUUAUCCACGCAACUGAGACACAGACCAGGCCUUGGAGACAUGGCCAUGGAGAAAACACAUUUGACACCAAACACCAAACCUCAAGCCACAAGUGAUAAUACAAAGGACACAAACUUAAUUAUUUGACACACAAGUACACAACCAACGUUAUUCUUUAAACCCUCAAAUGCAAUUCCUCCUAUAUCAUCAGCCAUCACAUCUUAUUCUUUCUUAUAUCAUGUGCUUACUGGCCACAGGUGCAGUCAAUACAGGCGCAGCUAUCACCACACUUGCAGCUGCCCUCGUGCUGGGCUGCUGGAACCUCCAUCACAACGGUCGCAACAUAGCUGCAAAAACACAACAACACCCAUUAUCAUCAUCAUCAUAUCUUCUUUCAUAGAAAACAAAAACGGAAGAAGAAGAAGAAGAAGUUGUUUUCUUCCUUGAAAUAUAUUAGGGUUCUUGAAGUACUGCAGGAGGGUUUUAGGUUUAC
rnacentral:lncRNA from 1 species